rnacentral:rRNA from 1 species
UAGGGAAUAUUGCGCAAUGGAGGAAACUCUGACGCAGCGACGCCGCGUGGGUGAUGAAGGCUUUCGGGUCGUAAAGCCCUGUCGGAAGGGAAGAAAAACCUAGUUGCUAAUAUCAACUAGGCUUGACGGUACCUUCAGAGGAAGCACCGGCUAACUACGUGCCAGCAGCCGCGGUAAUACGUAGGGUGCUAGCGUUGUUCGGAAUCAUUGGGCGUAAAGCGCGUGUAGGCUGCCAAUUAAGUCUGGUGUGAAAGCCCUGGGCUCAACCGAGGAAGUGCAUCAGAAACUAAUUGGCUAGAAGACGGUAGAGGAAGGUGGAAUUCCUGGUGUAGAGGUGAAAUUCGUAGAUAUCAGGAGGAAUACCGGUGGCGAAGGCGGCCUUCUGGGCCGAUCUUGACGCUGAGACGCGAAAGCGUGGGGAGCAAACAG